rnacentral:rRNA from 1 species
AGUGAACGCUGGCGGUAGGCCUAACACAUGCAAGUCGAACGGCAGCACAGUAAGAGCUUGCUCUUACGGGUGGCGAGUGGCGGACGGGUGAGGAAUACAUCGGAAUCUACUUUUUCGUGGGGGCUAACGUAGGGAAACUUACGCUAAUACAGCAUACGACCUACGGGUGAAAGCAGGGGAUCUUCGGACCUUGCGCGAUUGGAUGAGCCGAUGGCGGAUUAGCUAGUUGGCGGGGUAAAGGCCCACCAAGGCGACGAUCCGUAGCUGGUCUGAGAGGAUGAUCAGCCACACUGGAACUGAGACACGGUCCAGACUCCUACGGGAGGCAGCAGUGGGGAAGAUUGGACAAUGGGCGCAAGCCUGAUCCAGCCAUACCGCGUGGGUGAAGAAGGCCUUCGGGUUGUAAAGCCCUUUUGUUGGGAAAGAAAAGCAGCAGGUUAAUACCCCGCUGUUCUGACGGUACCCAAAGAAUAAGCACCGGCUAACUUCGUG